GCAUAUCAAUAAGCGGAGGAAAAAGAAACUAACAAGGAUUCCCCUAGUAACUGCGAGUGAAGCGGGAAAAGCUCAAAUUUAAAAUCUGGUGGUCUUUGAUCAUCCGAGUUGUAAUCUAGAGAAGUGUUAUCCGCGCUGGACCGUGUACAAGUCUCCUGGAAUGGAGCGUCAUAGAGGGUGAGAAUCCCGUCUUUGACACGGACUGCCAGGGCUUUGUGAUGCGCUCUCAAAGAGUCGAGUUGUUUGGGAAUGCAGCUCAAAAUGGGUGGUAAAUUCCAUCUAAAGCUAAAUAUUGGCGAGAGACCGAUAGCGAACAAGUACCGUGAGGGAAAGAUGAAAAGAACUUUGGAAAGAGAGUUAAACAGUACGUGAAAUUGCUGAAAGGGAAACGCUUGAAGUCAGUCGCGUUGGCCGGGGAUCAACCUUGCUUUUGCUGGGCGUACUUUCCGGUUGACGGGUCAGCAUCAAUUUUGACCGUUGGAUAAAGUUCAGGGGAAUGUGGCAUCUUCGGAUGUGUUAUAGCCUUUGUUCGCAUACAACGGUUGGGAUUGAGGAACUCAGCACGCCGCAAGGCCGGGUAUUUAUACUACGGUUCGUGCUUAGGAUGCUGGCAUAAUGGCUUUAAUCGACCCGUCUUGAAACACGGACCAAGGAGUCUAACAUGCCUGCGAGUGUUUGGGUGGAAAACCCGAGCGCGUAAUGAAAGUGAAAGUUGAGAUCCCUGUCGUGGGGAGCAUCGACGCCCGGACCAGACCUUUUGUGACGGAUCCGCGGUAGAGCAUGUAUGUUGGGACCCGGAAAGAUGGUGAACUAUGCCUGAAUAGGGUGAAGCCAGAGGAAACUAUGGUGGAGGCUCGUAGCGAUUCUGACGUGCAAAUCGAUCGUCAAAUUUGGGGUAUAGGGGGCGAAAGACUAAUCGA
rnacentral:rRNA from 1 species